rnacentral:rRNA from 1 species
CAGCAGCCGCGGGAAUACGAAGGGGGCUAGCGUUGUUCGGAAUUACUGGGCGUAAAGGGCGCGUAGGUGGUUGCGUAAGUGAGAUGUGAAAUCCCCGGGCUUAACCUGGGACGUGCGCCUUAUACUGCGUAACUGGAGUGCAAUAGAGGGUAGUUGAAUUUCCGGUGUAGCGGUGAAAUGCGUAGAUAUCGGAAGAACACCAUUGGCGAAGGCGGCUCACUGGCUCAUUCUAGACGCUGAGGCGCGAAAGCGUGGGGAGCAAACAGGAUUAGAUACCCGCGUAGUCCCUGUCUCUUAUACA